GCUCUUCUUGGAUGAGUUGCGAACGGGUGAGUAACGCGUAGGUAACCUGCCUUGUAGCGGGGGAUAACUAUUGGAAACGAUAGCUAAUACCGCAUAACAAUGGAUGACACAUGUCAUUUAUUUGAAAGGGGCAAUUGCUCCACUACAAGAUGGACCUGCGUUGUAUUAGCUAGUAGGUGAGGUAACGGCUCACCUAGGCGACGAUACAUAGCCGACCUGAGAGGGUGAUCGGCCACACUGGGACUGAGACACGGCCCAGACUCCUACGGGAGGCAGCAGUAGGGAAUCUUCGGCAAUGGGGGCAACCCUGACCGAGCAACGCCGCGUGAGUGAAGAAGGUUUUCGGAUCGUAAAGCUCUGUUGUAAGUCAAGAACGAGUGUGAGAGUGGAAAGUUCACACUGUGACGGUAGCUUACCAGGAAAGGGACGGCUAACUACGUGCCAGCAGCCGCGGUAAUACGUAGGUCCCGAGCGUUGUCCGGAUUUAUUGGGCGUAAAGCGAGCGCAGGCGGUUUGAUAAGUCUGAAGUUAAAGGCUGUGGCUCAACCAUAGUUCGCUUUGGAAACUGUCAAACUUGAGUGCAGAAGGGGAGAGUGGAAUUCCAUGUGUAGCGGUGAAAUGCGUAGAUAUAUGGAGGAACACCGGUGGCGAAAGCGGCUCUCUGGUCUGUAACUGACGC
rnacentral:rRNA from 1 species